AUUGAACGCUGGCGGCAGGCUUAACACAUGCAAGUAGAGCGGUGAGAUGGUGCUUGCACUAUCACGUGGCGGAGGACGGGUGAGUAAUGCUUAGGAAUCUGCCUAUUAGUGGGGGACAACAUCUCGAAAGGGAUGCUAAUACCGCAUACGUCCUACGUGAGAAAGCAGGGGAUCACUUGUGACCUUGCGCUAAUAGAUGAGCAUAAGUCGGAUUAGCUAGUUGGUGGGGUAAAGGCCUACCAAGGCGACGAUCUGUAGCGGGUCUGAGAGGAUGAUCCGCCACACUGGGACUGAGACACGGCCCAGACUCCUACGGGAGGCAGCAGUGGGGAAUAUUGGACAAUGGGGGGAACCCUGAUCCAGCCAUGCCGCGUGUGUGAAGAAGGCCUUAUGGUUGUAAAGCACUUUAAGCGAGGAGGAGGCUCUUUUGGUUAAUACCCAGAAUGAGUGGACGUUACUCGCAGAAUAAGCACCGGCUAACUCUGUGCCAGCCGCCGCAGUAA
rnacentral:rRNA from 1 species